rnacentral:lncRNA from 1 species
AACCUUAGAUUGUCCUCGACAAUUGUUUAAUCCUUUUAGUCAUAUCCAGUUCUAAACCUUUUCCCUUCUUAAUGCCCCAGGCAUUUGGAAAAUUUUAGAACGGAUGAAUAUAGCACAUGUAAUCGAUCCUAUAUCCGAAGCAUAUGGGACACGAUUCAUGAUGUCUUACAUAAAGACUAAACCAGUCUUUUGCUAUAAUAUUUCCAUUUCAAUUUGCCAAGUUCUCAUAAUUCAGAUUAUGAAAAGGGAUGCCGUAAUCAUAAUCGAAUUUUAGAACGCAAAUAAUGGACCCAUAUACAGAAUUUCCUUAUGUUGAGCCAUUCCAACAUGAAAUUCAUAUAUAUCCUUGACUAAAUGAUUAAAACCUCACGAUCUAAGCUUAUAGAUUUGAGAUGAAGCAUAAUUUCCUCUCCCUUAAUUAUAGCAAAACAACUUUUUCCCAAUUGAAACUUUUGUUUUCUAUAAUUAACAUUGCUAACUUGCAAUACUUAUCAUAAUUAUCAUGCUCCCACUAACAUGAUGAUUAUUAGCAUAACACUUAUGCUCCCACUAGCUUUGACAUGUACUCAGAAAUCAGCUGGACAGUCUGAAAUUUAGAUUCAUACACCCUUUCCGUAGAUAGCUCACCUGUGUGUCUAAGCAAUUUCAAGAACCAUGAAAAGGGAUACCGUAAUCAUGGUCUCAAUUGCUUAGGCAUUUGCCAUUUCUCACAAGUCCAUGUUAGUGUGCCGGUUAACCACACGCGCUCCACUAACGACUUUUGAAAAUGCAAAUAACACAAUUGAUAUCUUCGUAAAAUCUACUUAGUGAAAGCGUUUCCUCACCAUCAUUUUCAUGAAUCGGAGAGAAACCUUAUGACACUUAGAUUUAUAUGGUGUAUGAGUUCCUACCCAUAUGAAUUUGUCAAACCAUAAUCACAAGACAAAGAUAAUGACAAAUCCAAAACCAUAUGGAUUGAACUCAAUCUUAACUUCUUGCCACCUGGCAGCUCAAGGGCCUGCCAUUGCUUCCAAGUUGUUAUGCAACAAACUGAGAACUCUAAGAACUCAUAUGCAAAGCCAACUUUAACUGGAAUGGGCACAGAUAUGUCAACACGAUAGGUUAUAAACCUCAAGUCGUGUGCUAGUGAAGAACUUCAGGUUUUAUUCUUGAUUAUUUCUUGAGACUUUCAAGACCUUUAAGACUCCCACUGUCCUCUUGACAUAUAAGACUCCCUUGUCAAACAUCCAAGAGAUAGUGCGGAUUCUAAUCAAGAAAAACACUUUACCCAAUUGGCCUAAGUUGGUCUUUGUUUUAUCCAAAACAUCACAACUUACCAAUUUCAAAUGUACAAGAGUAGAAAACUUUUACUCUUACAUUUGACAAGUGUUUUAAACCUUCUUUAAGACAUGUCACUCAAAUGACAAUCUUGGAGUAUGACUCUAAGACUUGUAUUGGAACGAAGUAUGACUCAUCUUCUUGAUUUAACCAUUUCAACAAUUCAAGUUCCUCUUCUUAGUCAUAAGAAUGCACUAAGAUUUCCUUAGAGAACUAAUUGUGAUAUGGUUUCUUAAUCAUUAAGAUGAUCACAAAACUGAUACUAAAGUACUCUCCCAUCUUUUCAGAUUUGAGAAACUUUUAUCCUUCUGCCUAAUUUGAUUCUUCUUAUCGAUCUUUAGUGGUGGACUUAAUCAGUGCACAAGAAUGUGUACUCGAUCCCUUAGUCCUUUACUUGACUCACACAUCCAUGUGAACAAGUAAUUAGUCUUAAUUUUCCAAAACUUGAAAGUUCUCAUUCAUCAUGCUAUACAACUUGCAUGAUUCCAAGUUCCGGUCCAAUUGAAACUUGGGUGAUGAGAAUCUUUCCUUAUUUGGUAAAUCUAGACAUUACCACAAAUGAAAGAAUCAAUUUCAUAUUUCCACUCUUGCUCUUAAUGGAAUCAUAUAAGCAACAAUUUUUCCUCAAAAGCCAUUGUAAGGAUAUUUUAAAAUAAAUAAAAUCAAAAAAAUUUUCUUUUAUUUUAAAACUUUGCGGAAAAACUUAUCCUUACAAUCCAUAUGAAAACUUGUUGUUAUCUAUUCCUAAGCAAUAUCUCAUAACUCCUAAGAAGUAGCUCAAGAAUCCGAUCUUCAAACUAUGCGAUAGAAAUCCAUCUACGCCAUCAGAUUCAGCAUAUUCUUUCUUUAAGUUUCUUCACUUUUCUUUGAUUCUUAAAACAUCACCAUGUGACCCAGUCACAUCAUGUAUCAAGAAUCUCAGAAUAGAAACUUAACAGAGUUAGAUAGUGGACUUUACCUGAAGUAGAGUCAAACUUAUUGACUUUAACAUCCUUAGGUAAAUUUGGCAGCUUCGCAACCAAUGCCCCUUCCUUUGGCAAUAUAAACAUAUGGACCCUUUGAUAAUGGUACACGGGACUAUCACAGACUUAGCUUUUCUCUUUACCAUUUGGUCAACCGAGUUGACUAUGGCCGAUCCCUUUCCAUUGGGAAGAGAAUGCUUUACUGGAUAUCCAAUGUCAUCAUUGUCAAUGUCCAUAAAGUUUUAGGAAGUUGAUCUUAGCAAAUAGAUAAGAUCAUUAAGGGUCUUGUCAUAGUCUGUUUCAUAGGUGUCCCAAAGGAACUCACUAUGUGACUUAGAAAGUGAUUGAACCACCAACUUUCUCAAGACUUUGACACCCAACUCUCCCGGCUUGUCAAUAUGUGACUACAUCUCCAAGAUGUGACCACACCUAGACCUUGCCUUGCUAAUAGGGCCUGAGUGACCUUAAACUUUUCAAGAACUUGUGGGUUAGGGAGAAUAAUUUGAAGAGGUGAAGAAGUAUGAUAUCCAUGGGACAUCAUCUUCAUUAGGAAACCUUGUUUCAAGAGAUUUGGGAAGAUCAUAGGUGUCUAAACCAGACAUCUUUUGGGAGAUAUUCAAGAUAGUUGAUUUAAAGUCCUUAAUAUGACACCCAAUAUGAAAUAUUAAGGCUAGGACCCAACAAACUAUUUUAUAACUUAGAAGAGGUAUGCCGUAAUCCAAGCUAUAAAAUAUUUGAAGGUAGGUGAAUGACGAUUCACCAAUUUCCACCAAGAUAAACGAAAUGUAUUAUUAGGUUUUAAUUGGUUUUGAAACUCCUAGAUCUUUGAGAUUCAUUGAACUUUUCAAAGGCAUGUUUCAAUCUCGAGUGUGCCCUUCAGGUUUUGUGACUGGGAUGCCGAGGAUCACAAAACAAGGUGUGAAGUAACCAUGCAAAUCACUUGGUACCCUUAAUAAAUUACCCCUCAAUCGAUGUGCCGGUUAACCACACACGCUCCAUCGAUACUAUGAUAAAUAUUAAGUCACCCUUUACCUACCUUGUUAAGUCCAAGUUAGUGUGCCGGUUAACCACACACGCUCCACUAACGACUUAGACAAAGUGUAAAGUGUAAUUUCAUGGAUUAGCACCUUAUUCACAUUUUUCCUAAGUAACUAAGAUUGGGUAUUAUUAAGAGUUUAGUUACUUAGUAUUAUCAUUAAUACUUUUAAUGAAGGGAGAAUUCUAGUCCUGUCAAACCCGUUCGGCUAACGACCCUCCACCAGUCAAGCAAGCGGUGGGUGAGAGUGGACACCCAUUAAGUUGCCAUUUUAUAGGCAACAACCUUAUACCCACCUUAUAGACCGGCUUCGUGAAUGAGGCGUACUAGCGGUAAGACUGACUUUACUCUUAUACAUAUAUAUAUUAUUAACUUAUAAUAUUAUAAAGUAUAAGGGUUGAAUUUUAACUUUUAAAAUUCUAAGGGCUAACUUGGAAUUAAAGUAUUCAUACUUGAAAACUUUUCAAAUUCCAAAACUUGAGGGCAAGUUUUGAAACUAUUCAAAACUAAUUAAUUCCAUAACUUAUGUGUUUAAAGUAGUUUUAAUCCAAAAACUCUUCAAGUUCCAUAACUUGAGGACAAGUUAUGGAAGACUUUAAACUAAUAAAAGAACUAACUUUUUCUUUAUUUUAUAACUUAUGGAUUUAAUUAUGGUUACAUAUUUUUCUUUAAUGAAGUGACUCUUGAACUUCCAUAACUUGAGGACAAGUUAUGGAGUCAAAAAAAAUUAUUCAAUGACACAAGACUCUUCAUUUUGUAACCAUUGCCAACUUUUAUGAAUUUUAUGAGUCUUUAAUGUGACUCUUCAUGUAACUUGAGGACAAGUUACACAAACACAUUUUAUACUCAACUCUUAGAUUAAAAUGGAUUGAAAACAACUAUUUCACUCAACAUUUCUAUUAAUCUAAGCAACUCAUAAGAACAAGAUAAUUCAAAUCAAACUUUUUCAUGUAAUUAGUCUAAACCUUAAACUAAUACAAAACAUGAAUCUAUUGACAAUUAUCUUUGAAAAUGGAUUAGCAUGAACAUUACCACAUCAAAAACAAGUUUAUAAGUUCAAAAACAACUUAGGGUAAUGUUCCUAGUCCAUUUCUAGCCAAAAAACUCGAAAAUAUGCUGUCUGGGGGUCCAACUCGUCGAGUGCAUGAACCAACUCGGCGAGUUGGAUCGAAUUCAUCACUUUUUAGGCAUGGACUCACCGAGUCUCCUGAUGGACUCGCCGAGUCUGAUGGCCAGACAGCACCAGAUUCGUUUUUUCAGCUUCUAUUGCAGGUAUAACAAGAAAACAAGCCUAGGCUCUGAUACCACUGUUGGGUUUUGAGCAUUCUAACACUCCUAAGUGUACAUGCAACCCUAAAUACCUUGGAUCUAUGUUUUCUCUAUUAUACAUGCAAAUAAGAACUUCCAAGGUAUUAUCCUAAUCUAGCAUACAAAACAAUGAGUGUAACAAGAUAGAAUACAUACCUCUUUGAUGUAGAAAGUCUUCAUGAAGCUUGAGUGCCUAGCCCCAAUAGUGUGGAAGCCUCAAAUGGAAUCACAAUCACCAAAACACUUAGAAUAACUUGAGAGAAUUCUACAACUCAUGAAAUCGGCUAGCCCUUUCACUUCACACACUAGUGGCCGAUUUUGGUCAAGAAUAAGAUGCUUAUAUAGUUAGGGUUACACCAUGUAAACCCUAAUUGACAUGGCCUUUCAUUUCCAUGAUCCAUGGGUACAAAUACACCAUGGAGCAUCCAUGGACCAUCCUAUGGGUUUUAGCCCAACUUGAUUAUCCAUGGAGCAUUAGCCCACUAUACAAGUAUGGAUGAUUUACACAAUCAACCCAUAUAUUUAAUUAGUCUUCUUUUGAUCACUUAAUUAAUCCUAGAUUAAUUCUUGAUCAAUACUAAUUAAAUAAUCUUAUUAUUCUUAUUAUUAAUAUACUAGAACUUAUAAUAUAUUAAUAACCAUAAGUGUCUUAUUUCUCUCAUUAUAGUCUAUCCAAGUGCAUGAUGGUAUGCAACCCAAAUGGACCAUGUCGGGUUGGGUCAAGUCUUACCAAAUAUAGUUAUGGACUUAGACAUUAAUCCAACAGUAAAUUAGCUGUAAAGUGAAUGCUUAUCUUUUCUUGUUAUGUAUUUUCCUUGUUUAGUGAGGUAGGCUCUAGUAUAAAUUUAGGCUCUCUCUUGUGUCAUUCAUCCCAAGAAACACAUUCACCAUUUCCUUCUCUACCCAAUGGUGGAUCUGUUUGAACAUAUUUUUUUAAUGCUAUUAAAGUUAAAUUGUAGGGAUAAAUGCAAAUCACAGCAAUGUAAUGGUUUGGUUGGUUUUCUUUUCUGAUUUGGUGCCAGGUGAAUCUAAUGAAUCAGGAUCUGCCUUGAAGAUAGGAGUUGUGUUGUCAGGAGGACAAGCACCAGGAGGGCAUAAUGUUAUAUAUCUGGGAUUUUUGGUUAGGUUUUUGAACUUCCAUUUCCUAUUGUUCAUAUUUUUCAUAUUUCAUAUGAUAGAUUGAAGGAUUGACUAGUAAACAUCAGCAAUAUUGGUGCCAGGUGAAUCUAAUUAGUAAAGAAAGUUGAAGGAUUGACUAGUAAACAUACAAGUAGAAUGAAAAUGACAAGUGAUUUUGUGUUGUGUUUACAGGGUUGAUGAAAGCGAAUAGCUCUCGAGUUAGAAGUGGAAAAGAAAGCUCAAGUCGAAAGAGAUAAGAUGCUGAAAAUGCAAGUGUUGUAUUCUUCAUUUCAAUUGUUAGUAUGAAACAUAGAGUAGAUUAGAUGAAUGCAAAUUUAUAUAUUGUAAGAAAUAGAAUUGUAUGACAUUAAAGUUUAUGCAAUGGAUUGUAUUUUUUUGUAUAUGGUAUUUUAUUUCUAUUAUGACACAUUAAAUGCGAAUUUAAUUUAAAAAUUAAUAAAUAUAUAAAUAUAUAUAUUUUUAAAUAUUUAAAUUUACGAUACGCAAAAAUGUGUGUGAUAUUCAUUUAUGACAUGGCCUUUCUUGACAGGGGAUUUCUUGAUACGCAUUGCGUGUCAUUAACACGCGCGUCGUAAGGUUACGACACGCGAAUGCGUGUCGUCUUCCUUUAUGACAGGGCCUUCCUUGAUACGCAUUGCGUGUCAUUAACACGCGCGUCGUAAGGUUACGACACGCGAAUGCGUGUCGUCUUCCUUUAUGACAGGGCCUUCCUUGACGCGCAUUUGCGCGUCAUCUGAGCCUUUUACGAUGCGCAAUGGGCGUCGUAAAAGGCUAUUUUUCUAGUAGUGACGACACUUAAUUAGCCUUUACAUUUGAGAUGUACCAAAACUUCGUUGCCUACCCUUAAUACGUAUUUUUAGUAACUUACCAUCGAUCGCUUCCCUUUCAUUCAUGCUACCCCUUCUUAUUUCAGAAUAUAUCUUUUCCAGAUGUAAUAGCCAACCCGGAAGUGAACAAAUUGUUCCUAAUCUCUUUUUUAUUAGGCGGCGAAUUUACACUUAGUGCUAAUUUAGAAUACAACUUAAGGAUCAAUGCGGAUUAACGCUCAGUGUAGUUUAUGCUUCAACUAAACUUAUACCGCUCUCUUAAUUAAGAUAAUAUCUAACUAGAUGAUCUUUUUACGACUAGGUCGCAGUGGUUGGAUCAUGAUUCCAUCAUCCAUAAUCUAGACGAAAGAACUCGAAUUAAGGAAACAUUAAUUUGACUAUAGUUAAAGAAGUGGGUUCUUAUAUUGAGGAAAUAAACCCAAAAUAAUCAAAGAACACUUCAAGUCACAACCUCUCCAACUAUAUAAUUGUAUUCGACUGAGUUCUAAUAGAGUACGUCACGAAUUGAAUUUCGGGGUGAAAUUCUUUCAACCGGGGAGAAUGUGACAACCAUCAAAAUUCGAGUCGGUUCUAGAUUUGAAUAAACUUAGUUGCACGUAUAGGCAUGACACAUACUAGACUUAGUAACUGGAAGUUAAGAUAUAACCUAUUAGGAACUUGGAAACAAUUAGAAACAAUGGAUAAUGUGCUUGGAUUUCACAUUGGUAUGUGAAUUCUACAACUACUUAACUGGAGCGUCUAUGCAUAUUCAGGUCAUUCUUGACUCGAACACCUUUUCAUGAAUCAUAUACACACAUCAUGCACUUGAACUAGUAGAAGAAAUUAGGUCCAAGUCUCAUAGAAACUUAAGUCAAAGCUGAAGACUAGUACUAGUAUAAUUGAUUCCUCAAUCUCGGUUGAAUCACGGAAUCACUACAUAGAGUGCCAAUAAACCGUUAAAAAUGAAUUACAAAAAUUAUUUUUUUUUAACAACAAAAGAGUUUGAAACUCUAUUAUAAUUUGAAAUGUCAAAUAAUUCAAUUUAUUUUGAUAUCCAAAUAUUUAUUAAAUCUCAAGACCCUAAAAACCCUAAAAACUCAAAUUUAUAAACUUUAACACCUAAAAAUCCAUAAAAUUUGUUAUGGAAUAUAUAAUAUAAAUUUAAAAUAAUUCAAUUUAUUAAAUAUAACCAAGGAGAAAUAAAAUUUAAGUCAUUAGUAUUUCACCUUCUUUUCUAAGCCAAAAAUCAAAGUUUUGUGAAGGAAUAUUAGGAUAAGGUACAUAUUUUAUAAAAACUUGAUAUUUUUAUAAAAUAAAGUUAUAUUUUAUAAAAUUUAAAAGAGGGAGACCCUCUCUCCAUUCAAAAGUCGGAUUCCUCUCUCUCUACUCUCUCACCUCUUCCCAAAACACUCAAUCAAUUCCCUACACACUCCAUUUCUCCAUACUUCACUUUCUCUCUUACACUCCCUCACUUUAUUUUCUCUCUAUUCUCUCUUCCUCUCUCUAGGAAUCGCAAAAGUUUCCAGAAAACAAGUGCAAGAACACACCUCAAACUCAAAAUAUUCAUCAUCUAGUGGUGUUCAUUAGUGUAGAACACGAUUUCCUUCCAUUUUCCUUCAAGUUUCAAGGAUUUUCAUGCAUUUCCUUGUUCUUCUGCACCAUUCUCCUAGAACAUUUGUGUGAAGAUCCAUGGUAUAUUUUCACCACGGUAUAUUUUCACCAAAAACCUCUUGCAUGUUACAAAAUGGUGAAGAUUCAUGACCUAAACCUAAGUCAAAACCAUGGAAAUGGACUUUACUACACAUGUUGGUGGGAAAACGCCACAUGCACCCUAUGUUUUCUAUCAAAAAUGAUUUUUGAACAUUUCAAACUCAUGAAUGGUCUUCAAACCAACAUGCAUUUGAUGAUCUUCAAGCUUAGAUGCUUGAUGAUCAAAGUUUGUUGUUAAAAGCUUUCAAAUAUGUUCAUAAAGGAUUUAUUCCCAAAUAAAUAUCUAAACCUUCUUUUCUGAUCAAAUCUGAUUUUCCCUGUAUUCCACCAACAAAAUGAGAUGUUCUAUAGAUUUUCAGAAAAUAAAUCAUUUUUCUUGAGUUAUAUUAAUUAUUGCAAAAAAUAGAGUAAUAAAUCAUAUAAAAUACUUUCACAGGUCUAUAAAUACUAGGUAAAUUCGUGGAUGCUCCCUAUGCUAAGUAAUGACUUCUCAUUAAGUUUCAUCGAUUUUUGUUACUGUUUAUCAUGGUUUUGAAUUUUCUUUCUGUUUAACUCCAAUAAAUAAUAAAACCUCCUUAGACAUUUUGAAAGGGGUAUCCAAUAAUUUUUGCAGCUUUUAAUCUAUGUGUAAGACGCAUAAAAAUAUUUUCAGAAUUUUUCAUAAUGCAUUCCUAUUUUUCCCCGAUUUGUUUAUUUAUAAUGGACUAAAAAUAGGAAAAUAGGUUUACUCAUCCAAAGUUUAUGAAAAUUUACCAGAAGACCUUAAAAUACAUAAGAACUCUAAAUAAAAUUUUUGAUGAUUUUUCUAUUCACUAUAUUAUUUUUGUCCUAUUUUCUAAGAUUAAAUACACUUAAAUCCAUAAAUUUGGAUUCCAUUAGAUAAAAACCACCUUUGGGAUUUUUUCUAGAUUAUUUACGCUGCAAAUGAACUUUAAAAAAAUUUAGGUAAUUUACUUUAACUAUUUAAUAAUUAUUUUUCAAUUAAUGAUUAUUUAGGAGGAUUAAACAAAUAAAAAUAGUAACACUAAUUGAAAAACAUCUUUUAUAUUUUUCAUAGCUCUAUAUAUGUAAUAACAGUGUUACAAAAAUAUUAGGCAAUUUCAGAAACUGUUUCCUAUUUAUUUAAAUUUUUAUUAGAAAAAAUGCACAAAAAUCAUAAAAUUCGGUUAAACAGUUUAGGAAUCCAUUUUUAUAUUUUGACCAGCUUAUGAAUGUUUAAUAACAGUAAUACAAAAAGUUUGAGCUAUUUUGGAAACUGUUUUCUAUUUAUAUCAAGUUUUAUUAGAAUAAAUGCUCAAAAAUCAUAAAAUUGGGUUAAAUAGUUUGGAAAUCCAUUUUUAUAUUUUUCCCAGCUUACGCAUGUCUAAUGGCAGUAUUAUUGCAAGUUUGAGAAUUUUUAUCAUCUGGAUUCUACUUUUCACAAAUUUAUGUUGAUAUGAAGACUUAAAAUUUUGGAAAAAUAGUUAAUCAUAUCAAAAACUCAAAGGAAAAUUUCUAGAACACCUCUACUGUAUUUAGAAUGAAUAUGCAAAGUCUGAGAAUUUUUGCAAACUGUUUGAUAAUAUUCUAGAUUUUUAGGAAUUUAAAACACCUUUAAAUGUAUUAAAAUAUCCUCAAUUAAUAUUACAAAGAUCUGGAAAGUAAUAUCCAAAAUUAUCUUAAUCACAUGAGUUAUAAAAUUUCACCAUUUCAGAAAAAUGUUUGUAACAUAAAAAUAUUAAAUUUUGAUACAUUAUUGGCAUAAUUCUAUUGUAGUAGUAAAUAUAGUAGUAUUAGAUUUCAAUUAGCGACUCAUUAGUGUGUAACAUCGUUGUAGAAAAAUGAUAGUGGUACAAGUGGAGCGUAGUUCAAGGUACUAUUUGCAUCAUCUCAAUGUAUUGUGAGUAUUCACGCAUUACCCUAUUUUUAGUUUUCAAAUGUUUUGGGGUGGAAAAGCAUGUCCUAAGGUAUUUAUGUUCGUUGUAUUUAUUUUACUCGUAUAAACUUGGUUGCUAUAUUUUGCAUAUUGUGAGUGUUUACGACUCCCCCUAUUUUCGGUUUUUAAAUGUUUUAGGGUGGAAAAGCAUGUCAUAAACUAUUUAUGUUUGUUGUAUUUAAUUGACUUGUAUAAACUUGAUUACUAUAUUUUGCAUACAGUGAGUAUUCACCACUCCCCUAUUUUCGGUUUUUUUAUGUUUUUGGUGCAAAAGCAUGUCCGAAAAACUAUUUAUUGUUUGUUGUAUUUAAAUUGAUUCGUAUAAAACUCGAUUGCAAUAUUUUACUAUUAUUUGCUAUAUUCUGCUAUGUAUGUCUAUGCAACACGAAACAUGAGAACUUAUCGUCUUAAGUCCCUUCCCUUAUGCUUUACUCCAACCAUUAACUCUUUGAGCCAAUGGUCAUUGUGGAUAGCGGUAUUAGAAAUUGACAACUCCUCAGUAGCUCGAUUGAUGGAGUGCAUGAUAUCAUAUAAUCUAUGGAACAAUAAGCAUAGAUAUUGAUACAGCAUCAGUCAUAGGCUUGGUUGGCAACUCAUUGGUUGCUCAUACACAUACAAACUCGUUACAUAUUAUAGCAAUAAACUUUGUAUCUCAUUAUAACAGCGAACUUUUAUUACUGGAAACUUAUAUACAUGUUUUAGCAAUGAAAUUGUUUGCUCCUUGUAGCAACGAAAUUGAUUGCUCAUUUUAGCAAUGAAACUUGUGUACUCGUUUGAGUAAUGGACUUUAUCUUCCAUGAGAAUAUGAAUGUUGCAUCUCAUUUAGGCAACAUACUUUAUCUCUCAUGAGGACAAAGCACUUUGUUUUUUACAAACUUAUUUACUCAUUUUAACAAUAUACUUUUAUUAUUGGAAACUAUUAUUAAAACUUUGAUUUAAAUUCAUGGAACCAAUAUUAUUUUUUAUAUGUGAGUACUCACCAACUAUUUUUAUAGUUGACGCUCGUUUUACAGGCUUUUUCAGGAAUCAUCGAGUAAGUGACACUUAGGGACACAUCACUUUUAGGAGCAUUUGCAUGUGUUGUAUUUCAAUUUACAUUGCAAUUUCUUUUAAAAUUUGUUCAAACCCAUUGUAGAUUUGUAAUGAUUUUUAAUACUACGGUUGGUGUUGUCUUUUACCUUUUGCUAUGAAACCCUUUAUAAUGCCACACCUCGUGUUUUCACUUUAGCGGGGUGUGACAGUAUCCCAGGCAACUCCUCGAGGAAUACAUCCACAAACUCUCAUACCAUUGGCACAUCUCCAGCCGUUGUCUUACCCACCUCCCAGGUAUCUAUAAAAUAGGCGACAUAUCCUUCACAACCAUGCUGGAGGUAGCGCCUUGCCCUCGCUGUUAAGCAUAUGGCUAGUCCUUGCUUUGGCCUCUCACCCUGAAUCACUAGCUCUCCCCCACUUGGGGUUCUGAUCCACACCAACCGCUGCGCGUAGUCGAUGACCACCCUACUGGGGCUUAGCCAAUCCAUACCUAUAAUAACCUUGUUCCGCCACAAAGGUGUGGGAACCAAAUCCACCAAGUAGCGCUCCUCAUACAACCUCAGGACACAGUCCCUGAAAACUUCUGAUGCUCGUACAGACUAGUCGUCUGCAAUCUCGACCUCUAGAGGGCAAUCUAACAUGCCCAAGGACUCAGAAAACCUCUUGCUAAGCGCAAAAGAGAAAAAUGAUCGGGUAGCACCCGAAUCAAAUAACAGCUGAACUGGGAUACCGUUCACAUGAAACGAUCCUAAACAGAGCACACAUAUAACAUAUCAAAAUCAUUUUGACAUAUCAUAAAAGAUUAAAGAGAAGAAAUCAUACCCGUCACCACAUCGGGUGCACCGCAUGCUUUUUUGGCUGUCAACUGGAAAGCUCGGCUACUCACCACUGGAGCCUCUGGCUUGACCUUCCGGCCAUCCGUAAGUCAUGUCGCCGCAGGAGUUGGCGCCACCACUAGCGUUGUUGCUGCUGUCAACCUGGGGAAGUUGGCCUUUUUAAGGCCCCUCUGAUUGCAAUGGAAGCAAAUCAGGUCUGAUAUCUGAACAGUGGGGAUAGGGGUAGUACAAUCCCUGCCAAAAUGCCCAGUCUUGCCGUAGUUAUAACAGCUUGAUCCCGACCCAGUGCGGCAAACUCACUUGUAUGACCUACCGGAUUUCCAAUAGCGGUCCUGGCCCUGCUGGCCCUUCGACCUAGCGUCAAAUCCCUUGGGUUUCUUCCCUGAAACUGCAACAACCUGCCCUGACUCCGCUGUCCUCUUCUUGAGGUGCUUUAAAUCAAUAUCUCUCUCCCUCGCUCGAGCAAUCAUGGAAUCCAGAGUCGGGAAAGCAGAGUAGCUGACAUGCUCCCGGAUGUCAGCCCUCAGCAUAUCAUUAUAACGGGUCUUCCGUAUCUCCUAAUCCCCUGCGUACUGAGGUACCAACAAGGCCCUCUCCCGAAACUUUGUAGUGAUCUCCUCCACAGUCUCAAUAGUCUGUCUCAUAUCCAGAAACGCUCUAGCGAGCUGCUGAAGUGACAUAGUCGGAGCAAACUCUGCCAUACACCUGGUCACAAAAUCUGACCAAGUUAUAGCCUCAAUGGCUGGGGCUCCCAACGAGUCACCAACUGACUCCCACCAAUCCCUAGCCAUAUCCCUCAAACAUCCCACAGCAAAGCGGACCUUCGACCCAUCAGGGCAGAAGCUCGUCAACUGCGUAGACUCAAUGUCUACGAUCCAUCUCCUAGCAGCUAUGGAGUCCUUCACCCCAUGAAAGUCCAGCGCACCACUCCACCUGAAAUACUUGAUGGAUAGGGUGCGUAACCAACUGACUGGACUUCGAAUCCCUCCGGAAUUCUUGGAGGCGAUCCUCCAUCAACUCGAUAAUAACCUCCUUGGUCGACCCAAAAAUGAUAGGGGUCGACUCAAUGAUACCUCUAGUAAUCUCAGAUGCGAUGAACUCACGUAAUCUAUCAUCAACCUGCUCGGAUUCCGCACCUGAGCCUUAUCCUAACCCAGAUCCUGAACCUCCUUAUCCAGGUCGCGUACUCACUAUACUGAAAAUAAACAUAUAAAUGUUUAGAUCAUUCAUAAUCUCGAGAGGUGUCGCACACUCUCCAAGUUUCCUGGUUCCAUCUUGGCCCUCCCUGACUCGACUACGAAUCCUCUACUUUCAGUAGUACGGGCCCAUACUACCUUCCUACAUCUAUCCGUACUUUCCUCAAGGAUUGCUUCAACUUCACCAAGUCCCUUUACCGACACUACUUUCUAACUAAUAUUUCCUAGGCUCUCCUAGGGCACCCUCCGACCUACUCUCCGCCGUCAGCCGCACUAGGAGUCCUAACCACCUUUCCCUAACUAGCUUACGAAUACUAAUGCAUAUUCGCUUGCUAGCUAGUUAAAGCUAGCCAGAACCCCUAUAACACAAAUGAAGCAACAUUUGUUCGUUGAGUAACCAAAUCAAGCAUAACCAAUUCAAGCUACCAUACUGCUGACUAAAAGCUCUAACAGACCGCUCAAUAAGCUCCUACAGUAGGCUUAAAAGGCAUCAUUCCUAGAUCCUUAGCCAUAUUAUAGCAUGCAGUUCUCAUAAGCACAUAACCGGCUGUAAGUCCCCAAAUCUGCUUGUGUAUCAAUCAGAUCCAAUUGAUGGUGUGGAAUCCCAAUCAAUUGGAUGAUGUCAGAUCAAAAUACAAGAAAAGGAGAAGAAGAAUAACUUGAAUCUAUGAUGUAUUCAAUGUUGGAAUGAAGCUCCUUACACAUAGAUUCAUGCAUACACACACACACACACACACACACUCUUUUCACUAACUUUCUCUCACACCUUAGAAUGCACACAUUGAAGCUCUGUGGAUAUCUUAUCACCUCACCCACCUAACACCUAUAUAUACAUGAGCCACAAACUCAAGGCCGGACCGAAAACCCAAUGCUAGACUAGAAUGCCUGAACGCACAUUGGGUGAGGAAACUUUUUGUAUUGAUUCUUGAAAGAUAGCGCUUUCAGCUUGAGAAUCUUCAGAGAGAAUAUCCAAGAGAACUAAUCUUCUAGAUCACUUUAGUAGGUUUAAGAUAGCAGCGGACUGAGUUAGGAAGCUUCAAUACAAUUCGUGACAUAAUCUUCAAUUUCAGCUUCACCUUGCUUCUAGGGUUGAAGGAUUGAAUGUUUAAAGAAUAAUCUUCAUUUCUUCCUCCUUCGAAUGAAAAUUCUUCGAUGCUCACGGAUGAAGCCUUGGCUCAGAAAAUCUUCAAUACAGUCUCCACGAGUCUCAUCUAUGCCUGAAAUCACUUUUCAAGACAAAACAAAACUACACGAAAAAUUAGCACACAAAAAAUAUUUUUGUAUUUUCGAUAUUUUCUAAAAAAAUAAAACAGAAAUAACACUAUUUUUUUUUAUUUUUUAAUUUUCUAUUUUUUUGUUUGAUUUUUGAAUUUUUCUGAUUUUUGAUUGGUUUUUGAAUUUUUUUUCAUUCUCCCCCUAAGUUUGUGCAUAGAGGAAAACUAUGAACAAACUUAACAAAAAAAAAAUAUAUGGGAUCAAAGUUGUUACACAGUCUUAAUCCCUUUGUCAGUACCUUCCCCUUCAUGAAUAGUGUAACACCGUAAAUUUCAAAAUAAUUUUUCAUUUAAAAAUAAUCGUUAAUUCUUAAAAACACUUUUCUUAAAAUUCCAGUCAUAAUCAAAUUGCAAAAACAUAACUCCAUUUUCACUUGCUUAAUAAACCAGGAUCCUCAAAACAUGACUCUUUCUCUGGUGUGUAGAAUCGAGCCGGUGCCGUCCCGUGAUCCUGAGAGAAACCUGAAACACAUAACACAAAACACUAUAAGCACGAAGCUUAGUGAGUUCCCCAAAAUACCACACAUAACACAUAUUAGCCACUCGAGGCUAAAACUCUGUGGGUUCAUGGACCCUGCUCUAUGAAACCUCUGGUUCUAACUCUGUGAACCUUCCAGUUCUACCUCUGUAAAUAUGCACAACACAAAACACAUAGAAAUAAUGCAGUACAACACAUAACAUACACAGCAUACAAGUACUCUGUCACAUAACUCUGGUUACCUACUCAAGGUAAAGUAUAGUGAGAAGACUCACCUGGCAAGUAGAAAGCAGAUAUCCCCACACUUGAAUCUCGAACUUGCCACCGGCUAACACAUAAUCCAAAUACUCUCAUGAAUAUAACUCUCGAGACUAGAAUCAACCCUGUCUUGGCACCCUCUUAAGGGUAAAAUACCAUUUUACGCCUCUCUUGGCCCAAAGGCCACAUCGCUGACCAAACCGUAAAUGUCAACAAAAGUCAACGGUCAACUUUGACCGAACUCGGCGAGUGCACUAGGGAGACUCGGCGAGUGUAUACGUGUCCUCUGACUCCCUUGGAUCCUCUCUUGACACGUCAAGUAUUUCUCUGACUCGACGAGUUUCACCUAGCAUAAAUCGCGGGGCCACCACGACUCAACUCGCCGAGUCUCAAGAACAACUCAACGAGUUCCGGCUUGCCUCAGCCCCCCCUGACUCUCCUUGACUCACUGAGUCGACCCCUCAACUCGACAAGACCACUCGUUGAGUGGUUACGGGCAAACUUCAUGCUACUCGUCGAGUCUGUUCUUCAGAAUCGGCAAGUUUAUGCCAUGCAUAACUCAAACUCACUUCUGAGGUCAGAUCUGUUCCAUACAAUCAUAGAUCUGGCCUCCCCAGGCAUGAUAAUCAGGUAAAGUCCUGACCUUGGUACUCAAACAACAACUAUUUGCUCCUAGAUGAUGUUUUAGCCCCAUAUCUCAUAACUCUAGGUCAAAACUCCCAUGAAUCCUCAUAAAGCUUAAGGAAUAAAGCUUCUCUGGACCUCUAUGGAUCUCAUCACAAGCCUCAUCACAAAUAGGGACGAAAUGCACAUCAAAUCUAACCAACAAAGGAGUCAAGAAACCUUAAUCCCCAUGUUUAUCAUGACAACAGAAAAGGAAGCCAAAAUAUACCUCCAAGAUGAUGCUCUGAGCUCCAAAAUCGAAGGAUGUCCACCUCCCUUGCCUUCUGUUAGCUAUAAUCUCCUUUUCCUUGCCAAACAAAGCUUCAAAGGUUAACAAUGGCCUCUUCUCUCUCCCAAAACGCUCAAAAUCUCUUUAGGGUUUCUCUCUGGGGUUGGUGGCCGAAAAUGACAGCCAUAAGCUCCUUUAAAUAGGUCUCAAACCCUGGAAAUUAGGGUUUCAUUAAACAGCGUGGACUCGCCGAGUCCAGACGCGAACCCGCGCACAAAAUCGCGAUCCUACUCGGCGAGUUUGGACUCCAACUCGCCGAGUCUCCUCACACUCACCCAAAAAUAAAAGAAUAAAAUAAUACUUGGGAAUCCGGGGUGUUACAAUCCUCCCCCACUAGAAUUAGACUUCGCCCUCGAUGUCUCGCUCUGCAAAUAACUUCGGAUUCUACUCACGCAUCUCACGCUCCGGCUCCCAAGUUAACUCUUACCCUUUUCGAUGCUGCCACUGGAUCUGCACCAGUGGCACCUCUUUAUUCCUCAGAACCUUAGUCCUUCGAUCUCUGACCGCCGCUGGUCUCUCAGCAUAAUUCAGGCUCCAAUCCACCUGAAUAUCCUCUAGUGGCACUAUUGCCAACUCGCCGGCUACGCACUUUCGCAACUGAGACACGUGGAAAGUGUCGUAAAUCUGACCCAACUCUGCUGGCAACUCCAAACGAUAGGCUACCCUGCCUACCCUCGCGACCACCCUGAAUGGACCAAUAUAUCGGGGCCCCAACUUGCCUCUCUUCCUGAAUCGAAUCACUCCUUUCCAAGGAGAGACCUUCAGGAGCACAAGGUCGCCGAUCUGGAACUCGAGCUCGGACUGACGCCUGUCCGCAUAACUCUUCAGACGACUCUGAGCGGUCAAUAACCUCCGCCUGCCCAGCUGAAUCUACGUAGUCGUUUGCAGCCCAAUCUCCGUACUACCCAUAACACGCUGCCCGACUUCUCCCCAGCAAAUGGGAUUCCGACACCUCCUCCCAUACAACAGCUCAAAGGGUGGCAUACCAAUGCUCGAAUGAUGGCUGUCGAUAUGUGAAAACUCAACCAAGGGUAAGUACGUGCAACAACUCCCUCAGAAAUCUAAUACACAUGCCCGAAGCAUGUCUUCGAGCGUCUGAAUUGUUCGCUCGCUCUGAAGUGUCCUCAGACAUCACCAUGAUAAGCUCUAGCUCAUUUCUCAUAUCCCUCUUCGAGACUGAGCACUAGGUCAGCUUUUAACUCCACAACUGAGCCUCCAAAGGUCACCCAUAUCAUGAUCCAAAUAUCCCACUAACUUCCUCCCUGUGACCACUAUCCCGGCCGAGUGACAUGCAAGUCAUGAAAUUAUCUUUUCCUUAAGCGAGAAAAAUACAAUCCAACCGAGGAUCGUCUCAACUCUGAUCUCUGGCGUCUGCUGCGCAUAUCCCUUGUGUAUCUCGCCGCAUCUCCCGCCAGAGACGGAGAUCCCAGUCUCGCCCCCGGUUCAACACCCAGGCUCCAAAAACUCAAUACUAGGGCUACUCAAGCCCAAAACUCUUCCACAUGAUACACUGAUCGGAGAACACUCCAUCAUCACAUUCUCUUGCCAUCUAGUGAGUACUAUGGCUCCCCGCAACAACAUGAUGACCUCUCAACGACUAGCGAGUAUUACGGCUCCCCGCAGUAUUACAACACUCUCUGACUAGUGAGUACUACGGCUCCCCGCAGUAUCACAACACCCUCUGACUAGUGAGUACUACGGCUCUCCGCAGUAUCACAACACCUUCUGACUAGUGAGUACUACGGAUCCCCACAGUAUCACAACACCCUCUGACUAGUGAGUACUACGGCUCCCUGCAGUAUCACAACACUCUCUACAUCCACUAACUCAUGCUCCGCAGACUAUCAUAGGUAGCUACCCAUACUCGACCCAAAUAUGCAUCACAGACUCUGGAGGCAAUCGACAUAACAAAAUGCCUACCCUUGCGGAGAUCCACUCUCUCAAAUAAUCCCUCUGGAUGCCAAUACUCAAAGGCCUCCCACUAGAACCAUAGAUACUUGAUAUACCACAAGUCGUCUCAACUCAAGAUUCACGAAUAACUCUGAAAUCAAGAUAUCAUACCUGGAUACCUCGGAACACCCCAACAGAACAUCACAAGAUCCUGCCACAACCACUGAUCUCCUGCCCCAAGCAUCAUAUAGAUACAAUAAUACAUUUCCUCUGAACCCCAUGAUUAGAUCUUCAGUUUUUUUCCAAAGUCAACGUAGGUGUAUCCAAUUACUCAAUUGGAAUACGAGAAAAUGCUAAUGCUACGGAAUACGCUGAUAAUUCUCCGAAACCCCUUUUCCUACCACUCAAAGUCCAAGCAAGAAUACGCAUACCGACCCGGGAGUUGGCUGCCCAAUCAUUCUCUACCUACUUGCAACAACACUGACAACUACCAAGUUCCUGACCAUUAACCACCUGCCGUGGAGACAUUCAUCCUUCUCAAACAAGUACUUCUUGCAUUAACUCACUCUAACCCCUUUCCUCGAUCACCAAUAUCUCUAGGUUCAUGAAUUCUUACCGCAGAUCUCUAUACUCCACUUAUAACCGCUCUUGACAAAUCUCUGCUUUCUUCCAUACGGUACCCGAUUCUCCCCCACUCAGGGUUCGAACCAUCACCAAUUGGCACACAAUCAUCCCACAAACUAUUUUCACCAGCAAAAUCGGACCAGACCCUAGAAAGUGCUACACAACGCCCGAUAAUCCCAUUUAGGGAAAUCAAUCGACCUCAUAUACUUUGAACCUCAGAUGAAAUCAUCAAGAACUUCUUGUCACGACUGCCUCUAGUCGCUCCAAGUCUCGUACCAAUCCAAUACCAAACAACUCAACUGUCCAAUAACAUCACUGGCUCAUAGACUGAACCACAAAAUCAUCGUACUCCCCUACCUCAACUCAUUAACCAACGUUCUAACACAUGGAUCAUCCUAAGAACAAGGACCCACUCCCAUAUUCAAUACCCAAUAUAGAUAGAAAACCCACUGCACUGUUAAACUCGACUAAACUCCCCACUGAUACCACUACAAUACACCCUACUAUACUCAAAUAGGUGUAAUGUGGUCCUCAACUAUCUCAGUCCCAACUGACUAUAUGUUCAUGAUACAUCACUGCCUCACGGCACACAUGCUACCUGAUACUCUGGUGGAAAAUCAUCAUCAAUGACAACCUGCAGGGUUUACCCCCAAACCCAAAACUUAAACAUCAUGCUUCUCAUGUUUUGCACACGAACAUAAUUAGUACCACCCAGAUCAUAGAAGGUGACAUCUCCUCUAUCACCUGAUUGCUCAACUCAGACCGAAAUUCUACCCUCUCAAGGGAUGCCUCUUCGAACUCAAUUAUGACUGGAUAACUGGAGAACCACAAGCAUCAUUCACUACGAACCAUUGUACUCAUUCCAUGACAUCUCUUCUCAAUAUGCUCCGGUUUAUGGUACCCGAACCAUAACAUCACUCCUCAAUCCGCUCCGAUAUAUGGUACUCGAACCAUAACAUCACUCCUCAAUCCGCUCCGAUGUAUGUACCCGAACCAUAACAUCACUCCUCAAUCCGCUCCGAUGUAUGGUACUCGAACCAUAACAUCACUCCUCAAUCCGCUCCGAUGUAUGGUACUCGAACCAUAACAUAACUCCUCAAUCCGCUCUGAUGUAUGGUACUCGAACCAUAACAUCCCUCCUUAAUCCGCUCCGAUGUAUGGUACUCGAACAAUAACAUCACUCCUCAAUCCGCUCCGAUGUAUGGUACUCGAACCAUAACAUCACUCCUCAAUCCGCUCCGAUGUAUGGUACUCGAACCAUAACAUCACUCCUCAAUCCGCUCCUUAGAACCUCCAGAAUACUCCUUGUAUCAAGUAUGGGUCCUCUGCUUUCAGUAGUACAGUCCCAUACUAUCUGCCACAUCUACCCAUACUUUCCAUACAGACUAUCCUGGAGCUCCUAAGUAGCUGCUCGACCUGCCCUUUCACCAAUCCCAUCGCGCGUGCUCACUCCCCAGCGAAAUUCUCUACUCUGCCAGCGCACUCAUCUGGCUGAGGUUACUCCCUAGGCUCUUCCUAGAUUCCCACACUUCUCUUCCAUCAGCUGCUGAAGAGCUCGUAAUGAUGCCAACCAUCUACCUCCUGAAUAUCGUCAUAUUCACUUAGUAACUAACUCCCAUCAUUGAGAGUUCCAUAAAACACGAAGCAAGCAGCAUUUGGGCAUUAAAGCAUCCUCUUCAGCAUGAAAAACCUCCUUAGGUUAUUAUCCACUCACCUUCCUCAUUCGUGAUGGAUAUCACUGAACUCUAACAACUCCGCCCCACGUGGGCAUCUGGCUACCCUCUCGGCAAGCUCCUCAUAUGCUCAUAUAGAUACAUCUUCCAUAUUACUUCCCUGCUCAAAUCCCCUAAAAAUUUCCUGCUGGACACUCUCGCUCAGCACAUACUCAAAAGCACAUCACAUAUAUCAGCAACCCUAGGAUAAGGCAUCACAAAUCAGGCCACUCUAGUCCUAAAAUAUGAAUUGCCUAGCCUGCCUCCAGCAUGCACACUAUCUCAUAAAAUAUAUCACAAAUAUCUCAUAACACAAAUAAGGGUGUUUUGGGAAAUCACCUUUCGGGCUCUAGCUGAUUGUACACACUGAUCUUUUUGCUUUCUCUUUGAAACUCUUAUUCUGUUUAUAAAGACACAUUUCUUUUUGAAAAAAUUUCUUAAAUCCUCAGUUUGAGUCCAGAUUUACCCGAAGGUGCAUCCGAAUCCCUCAAACCAAGGCUCUGAUACCAACUUGUAGCACCGUAAAUUUCAAAAUAAUUUUUCAUUUAAAAAUAAUCGUUAAUUCUUAAAAACACUUUUCUUAAAUUUCCAGUCAUAAUCGAAUUACAAAACCAUAGCUCCAUUUUCACUUGCUUAAUAAACCAGGAUCCUCAAAACAUGACUCUUUCUCUGGUGUGUACAAUCGAGCCGGUGCCGUCCCGUGAUCCUGAGAGAAACCUGAAACACAUAACACAAAACACUAUAAGCACGAAGCUUAGUGAGUUCCCUAAAAUACCACACAUAACACAUAUUAGCCACUCAAGGCUAAAACUCUGUGGGUUCAUGGACCCUGCUCUAUAAACCCUCUGGUUCUAACUCUGUGAACCUUCCAGUUCUAACUCUGUAAACAUGCACAACAUAAAUCACAUAGAAAUAACACAGUACAACACAUAACAUACAUAACAUACAAGUACUCUGUCACAUAACUCUGGUUACCUACUCAAGGUAAAGUAUAGUGAGAAGACUCACCUGGCAAGUAGAAAGCAUAUAUCCCCACACUUGAAUCUCGAACUUGCCACCGGCUAAAACAUAAGGCAAAUAAUCUCAUGAAUAUAACUCUCGAGACUAGAAUCAACCCUCUCUUGGCACCCUCUUAAGGGUAAAAGACCAUUUUACCCCUCUCUUGGCCCAAAGGCCACAUCGCUGACCAAACCCUAAAAGUUAACAAAAGUCAAUGGACAACUUUGACCGGACUCGGCGAGUACACUAGGGAGACUCGGCGAGUCUAUACGUGCCCACUGACUCCUUUGGAUCCUCUCUUGACACGUCGAGUAUUUCUCAGACUCGACGAGUUUCACCUGGCAUAAAUCACGAGGCCACCACGACUCAACUCGCCGAGUCUCAAGAACAACUCAACGAGUUCCAGCUUGACUCAGUCCCCCCUGACUCUCCCUGACUCACUGAGUCGACCCCUCAACUCGACAAGACCACUCGCUGAGUGGUUACGGGCAAACUUCAUGCUACUCGUCGAGUCUGUUCUUCAGUCUCGGCGAGUCCAUGCCAUGCAUUACUCAAACUCACUUCUGAGGUCAGAUCUGUUCCAUACAAUCAUAGAUCUGGCCUCCCCAGGCAUGAUAAUCACGUAAAGUCCAAACCUUGGUGCUCAAAAAACAACUAUUUGCUCCUAGAUGAUGUUUUAGCCCCAUAUCUCAUAACUCUAGGUCAAAACUCCGAUGAAUCCUCAUAAAGCUUAAGGAAUAAAGCUUCUCUGGACCUCUAUGGAUCUCAUCCCAAGCCUCAUCACAAAUAGGGACGAAAUGGACAUCAAAUCUAACCAACAAAGGGGUCAAGAAACCCUAACCGCCAUGUUUAUCAUGACAACAGAAAAGGAAGCCAAAAUAUACCUCCAAGAUGAUGCUGUGAGCUCCAAAAUCGAAGGAUGUCCACCUCCCUUGCCUCCUUUUAGCUAGAAUCUCCUUUGCCGUGCCAAACAAAGUUUCAAAGGUCAACAAUGGCCUCUUCUCUCUCCCAAAACGCUCAAAAUCUCUUUAGGGUUUCUCUCUGGGGUUGGUGGCCGCAAAUGAUGGCCAUAAGCCCCUUUAAAUAGGUCUCAAACCCUGGAAAUUUGGGUUUCAUUAAACAACGUGGACUCGCCGAGUCCAAACAUGAACCCGCGCAUAAAACCGCGAUCCUACUCGGCGAGUUUGGACUCCAACUCGCCGAGUCUCCUCACACUCACCCAAAAAUAAAAGAAUAAAAUAAUACUUGGGAAUCCGGGGUGUUACAAAUAGAUCUGGUCGAUCGCCGGUGUCAUUGCCUACUUAAGCAUGAAAAAUUGUGACAGAUUUUAGGAAGGCUAUCAGUGACAGGACAGAUUGAUCCUAAUUUCCUUUAUAAAACUUCCUAAGGACCGUUUAUCUGACGAAGACCAAGGAUAUUGUUGUCCACCUAAAUUGAGGAGCGAGAUCUACAGACAAUCUAGACUUGUUAAAUUUUAGAUGUACUAGAGCAUGUUUCCCGAUUCCUGAUAUACCCCAAUAAUCAAGAACUUCCGAGAUACUCCUUACUUUAGGUGAGCAGACUAUUAUUCAUAGAGAGGAUAGAUUUAGAUUAUUAUUAAUUAUAGUUGUAGAGGGAUUGACAAGUAGAAAGUUGCAUAUGCUGUGUACUAGGUCGGAUUGUUAAUCACACAAAGGAGAUAGCAUAUGGCUAACAGAUACGAAGAAUUCCAUAUAUAUAAGAUGUAGAGAAAUAGACUUGCACAUGUUGUAGUCCAGGUCGGAUCUCUUCCAAUUAUGUAGAGGAGGCAACAUAUGACUAACAAUAGGAAAGAAUGAAAAUAAUUUUCUGCAGACAUACUUUAUCUAAAUUCCCUAGUCGCCCUAUCAAUACGAGAAUUAAUGACAUAAUCCAUACAUCGAGGAAAAGUUAAACCACUGUUCUAGAUACGGGUUCUCUUAAUGUGACUGGUGGAUUCUCAUGUAUAUCUCCCUACUCAACCUAUCUAAGCGUCGUAUUAUCAGGCUAAACGGAACUAUCUAGGUCAAGAUUUAUCAAGUCUCUAGAUUCCUUAAGUUCAUCUGUACCUAUUCAAGUCCAUUAAAAUCCUUCAUGCCUACCAGCGCAUCAAACACAAAGCCUAGAGAAUUUAGUUUUGGUACUUUAAACAGACUCAAAUUGCCCGUUAUCACUUGUUGAUAUCACUUCCCAAACAAUACUUACGAAAAACUAUAAGAAAAUAAAAAAAUUGUCUUCAAAAUGAAUCAGAUAAAGAUAAAUUCAGGAGUAUAGAGAAGAAAACUCAAACCGUAAUUCACCGAUUGAAUUUGCAUCUAGAAGGUCUGAGAACAGCACGCGUAACCUCAGACCAGAUACAAAAAUUCUUCAUGUCGUUAAACACAAACCCCAUGAGUGAUCCCUUCCUUUCUUCUCUUCCCGCAAAGGACACAUACUCUCAAACAAAAUUCUGAGUGUUGUACAGUUGAGAGAUGCCUCCUAUCAUGUGCCUGGAACAACCACUGUCAACAAACCGAGGUCUGAUGAUAUGCCUCCAUAGCUGCUCCGACACAUAGUGGGAUCAGUUGGUCUUUGGAACCCAGUAAAUUUUGAAACUGGGUUGACGUUUGUCAUCUUUGCAAGGAACAUUCUCCCACGACAUGUCCUGUUUAUCACAAACAAAAGAUGUUGAAAUAUUAAAAUCAUUAUAAGAUUUGGGAGAAUGGACCUUCGGAACCCAUCUGUAGUUGGGUUUAACCCAUUUCAUUUUCAUUCUGAUGGGUGGCUCAGUACUUUCUUUUGAUCUUGAUGUCGGUGGUUAAGAUGACUUUCAUUUUGGCUUCACAGGAGCAUCUCUUGGAUUUGGCUUCUUGCCUGACAUUCCCUUCUUGACCUUGGGAGUUGGAUUCUUGACCUUGUGGGAUUGAUUUUUGGCCUUUGUUGCAUUCCAAUCGCUAUUGUCUGAAUGUGGCCUCGAAGGGUUUCUUUUGGGGUAUCUUCCUAUUGGCGCGUUCUGCCAGCCUUGUGCAUAGUAGGGAACGUAUGCUCGAUUAGGACAAUUUCUGGCAAUGUGUCCAGGUGUUCCAUAAUGAAAACAGGUCUUUUUCUUCACAGUGAAGUUGGUUCUUCCUACCCCUGUUGGCGUAUCCUUGCCUUGUCUCUGGUUGUUCCCACAUACACACUUACAACAAGCCGGUUGAUUCUCUGGUUUUGGAGGCCUGUAUUUCUCAAUAGCAAGUUGAUUAAAAGCAACCGAGUUCGAAGCAACAUAUUCAGAGUACAAGGAGUCAUUGGAUUGUUCAAUAGUUUUCUCCUUGUUCUCAUCUUUUACUACUUUACCUGCACUGUUGGGUUUUGAGCAUUCUAACACUCCUAAGUAUACAUGCAACCCUAAAUACCUUGGAUCUGUGUUUUCUCUAUUAUACAUGCAAAUAUGAACUUCCAAGGUAUUAUACUAAUCUAGCAUACAAAACAAUGAAUAUAACAAGAUAGAAUACAUACCUCUUUGAUGUAGAAAGUCUUCAUGAAGCUUGAGUGCCUAGUGCCCCAAGUGUGACACCUCAAAUGGUUCACACAACACCAAAUACACUUGGAAUAACUUGAGAGAAACUUGAACACUCCUUGAAAUCGUCUAGCCCUCACACUCAUACAUAGUGCAUGAUUUCUUGAACCAUGGGAUGAUUUUAUAUGGUGGCUAUUAGGGUUACACCAUGCAACUCAUGACUUUACCCAUUCCUUAUGCUCCAUGGAUUUUAACCUCCAUGGAGCAUCCAUGGGUCACCCCAUGGACUUAGUCCAACAUAAGGAAUCUUGAAUCACAAGCCCACAUAUAUAAGAAUGAAUGAUUUACACAAUCAACCCAUAUAUUUAAUUAUUCUCCUUUUGAUCACUUUAUUAAUCCCAAAUUAAUUUUUGAUCAAUACUAAUUAAAUAACCUUAUUAAUAUAUUAGAACUUAUAAUAUAUUAACAAACCUUAAGUGUUAUUUCUCUCAUUUUAGUCUAUCCAAAUGCAUGAUGCCAUGCAACCCAAAUGGACCAUGCCGGGUCGGGUCAAGUCUUACCAAUUAUAGUUAUGGACUUAGACAUUAAUCCAACAGUCUCCCACUUGGAUAAGUCUAAAACUAUUAUUGCGUAUGACUUCAGGAACCAACUGGCAAUCGUAGCUCUCAAAAGCUUCUGUCGAACUCUGACCUUGUAGAUGAACUCUGACCUUUGUCAAUGACUUGUCCAUUAGAUAAGGGAUCAUAUAUUCCUCCAUUCUAGAUAUCAUAUGGACUGAGACAUGGAUUAUAAUCAUUCUCUCUGUCCAUUUGUUGUUUCCCGAUUUCCGAUUUAUGACGACUGACUAAUUGAACAAAUCAAAUCAGUCCUGGCCCGGCCGAGCACUUCCAUUUGUCAUCAUCAAAUCAUCGAGGGGCCCACAGAUAUCGCUUUUAUCCCGAAGGUAAAAGGAAUGGAUAAACUUCGACUCAUAUGGCUUGUUCUACUACUUGUUGAAUCAUACACAAAGGCACGUUUUAUAGCACCGAGUUACCAAAUGCGUUUUCGUGCAAUCAAUGUACUAUCAACUCAUAGUAACAACUCAUAUCUCUAGGUUUGAAGAAUAUAAGAUAUUAUCGUCUCAUGAUCACUCGUGAUAAAAUCCAUGAAGUGAUUCCAAUGAGCGCGGGUUGAAUCCAAUACUCAGAACUUAUGAGCACUCAUGAGUGUUGUAGCCCUUUGUCCAACACCUUAGACCUCUACAAGCCAACCCAUGACAGUCUUAAUUCAUAUCUACUUCCAACAUAUGACCGACUGUGGAUGGUUUGAAUAACUUAGUCAUUCCGGAAGAAUAACCUAGUUUAUUCGGGAAGUCAAAACAUGCAAAAUGAAACACAAUAAUAAUUGAAUCCAAUAUGGUAUCAAAACCUAUGAACAUAAAUAAAACACCUUUUAUUUAUCACCAUAUGAUUACACAUUAUUCAUUGUAUACUGUUUCAGCUAUCAACUUUAUUCUUGAAUUUAAAACAAUAGUUGUCCCAUGCUCCAAGCAUGUACACUAUGUUUUCUAAACACUAGUCAUGCCAUACACCAAGUAUGCAUACUAUGUUUGUCUAUGAUCUUUACUUUGUGAACUAGAUCAAUUGAACAUAACUUCAAUGAUUCUCUUUUCACACUCCCAAAUCCUUACUGCAAAUGCAAGAAUUCCAAAUUCAUGCGAUUUACUGAAAUCUGUUAGAUUCUAAACUUAUAUGCAUUGAUCCUCUUGUAAUGAUUAUGCACAAAGUCACAAGGACUUGACAACAAACAUUACAAAGUAUUCCAAAGGAGAUCAACUCCUUGGAAACAUCCUUCUUGCAUUAAGUUUACUUAAUCUUACAUAGAUUGAAAAUUCUAGCUUUGAAACAUUUCCAAAUUCAUUUUGACUAUCACUUCUAAACAAGAGUUGCCUCCUUACAGAUUAUGUCAAUAUGGUCCUUCCAGAAUUAUCAUUAUACUUCCAACUGUCCUUGAGCACCCAAUCUUUGGUAAACCUUAGAUUGUCCUCGACAAUUGAUAAAUCCUUUUAGUCAUAUCCAAUUCUAGACGUUUUCCCUUCUUAAUGCCCUAGACAUUUGGAUAAUUUUAUAAAGGAUGAAUAUAGCACAUGUAAUCGAUCCUAUAUCCGAAUCAUAUGGGACACGAUUCAUGAUGUCUCACAUAAAGACUAAACCAGUCUUUUGCUAUAACAUUUUCAUUUCUAUUUGCCAAGUUCUCAUAAUUCAGAUUAUGAAAAGGGAUGCCGUAAUCAUAAUCGAAUUUUAGAACGCAAAUAAUGGACCCAUAUACAGAAUUUCCUUAUGUUGAGCCAUUCCAACAUGAAAUUCAUA